AUGGAAGGACCCACUCCUAUUUCAGCUCUUAUACACGCAGCAACUAUGGUUGCUGCGGGAAUUUUUCUUCUAGCUCGACUUCUUCCUCUUUUCAUAUCUUUACCUUUGAUAAUGAGUUUUAUUUCUUUAGUAGGUACAAUAACACUAUUCUUAGGAGCUACUUUAGCUCUUGCUCAGAGAGAUAUUAAAAGAAGCUUAGCCUAUUCUACAAUGUCUCAAUUGGGUUAUAUGAUGUUAGCUCUAGGUAUAGGUUCUUAUCAAGCUGCUUUAUUCCAUUUGAUCACUCAUGCUUAUUCAAAAGCUUUAUUGUUCUUGGGAUCCGGAUCCGUUAUUCAUUCAAUGGAACCUCUUGUUGGAUAUUCACCAGAUAAAAGAAGCUACUAUCCCAGAGUCAAGUCCAUAUUCAGUGCUAAAUCACGAAAAGCAUCGGUAUCCAUAAAAGAUUUAACACAAUCAAACUUAAGGUUUAUACCUGACUCUUUACCUUCGUCGAGUUCCCAAUCUUCAGAGUUGCGUUUAAUUCUUUCCAAUAAAUCCCAUUUGAAUUCAAUAUCCCUCGUCAUAUAG
rnacentral:rRNA from 1 species